ensembl:lncRNA
ACAUACUUCCACACAAACAGUAGGUAUCCUACGCACAUACUUCCACACAAACAGUAGAUAUCCUACGCACAUACUUCCACACAAACAGUAGGUAUCCUACGCACAUACUUCCACACAAACAGUAGAUAUCCUACGCACAUACUUCCACACAAUCAGUAGGUGCGUUUUAUCUCUAUAGUUCUCACCACUGUGUAUCACUGCCUAGCCGACAGUUCCACUCCCCCGAGAUUAGGGAAACCUUGAGAAGUACUCCCUGUGCUCUCAUAGGUUCCUCAGAGUUCCUGCCAGGUCGGUUCAAACACAGUUGAACUGUUCUAUGUAUUUUCUUCGGCACACACACACAAGUUCAAAUCCUGAGCUACGCCUUGCUCAGACAGUCUGUGUUUUUCCACUAUACAGAUACAUUGUUUAACCUAAUUCCGGCAAAAACUACACACAUCAUCGGAUUAUAAUUUUAUGAUUCUAAUCAAUUUCAUACAGUUUUAAGGUUUCAGAGUGGAAUUAUUUAAUCAUUAUCUUUCAACAUUAAAAUGAUUUUAUCAGUAACCACGGUUAUGUGUGCUACCGGAUCACUCCAAUCCUCUUUGUCGGUGAUCUAUGGCACCUCGAAAAAGGACACGAGGGGGAAGUAGUGCAGCGGCAGCUAUUUAAGUGGUUUCGCCGCAGCCUCAGCAAUACUGAAAUCCUUACUCAGAAUGUGUCCUGCUGCGCGGAGGGAUACCUUAUUGAAGGAUACCAUAUUGGAAUGAUUCAAUAGCUCACAUAACCGUGGUUACGUACGUAACCUUCGUUUUUCCUGACACCGCUAUGAUCUUCUCCACGGCCCCGAAUAUCUCCACAGCAGCCGCCGAGAAACGCUCGGUGACUAACAACUGUAGUUUGCACAUAUUGAUGAUAGUUAUGAAUGAUGAUACUUUUAAUGUCCAUUACAGGGCGUUCCAGGAAUGCUCCAUAGAAGCCGCCGCCAGAGAUUUUUCAACUAACCUGUUCUUGGCAACGAAAAUUCAGAAAGAUACUACAUACAUGUUUUGUAUGGAGUGAGAUAUGCCUCUUCCAUCUGUGUAGAUCUUUGUUUUGGUCGCACUUUGUUACGCGCUGUCAUCUACUUCUACACGUGGCCGUUGACGCUUCGCAUAGAAAUGACUAGUUCCUGAAAAAAUGCUGGGAAAUGUUAGAUGUGUGGCAGCUAAAAUGGCAAGGAACCUCCUCGCAGGGUACAAAACAUGGAUUUAAUAUCUUUCUGAGUUUUCUUGUUUUUAUAGAACCACCUGCAAAUGGAAUCGAGAAUUAAGAAAUGAUCGCCAAGAACAGGUUAGUUAAAAAAUCUAUGGUGGCGGUUUGUGUGGGGCUUUCCUGUAACGGCCAGUAAUGGACACCAAAAACCUUGAGGUGAGGAGGAGGAUUAUUUCAGAUGUUUUUGGAAGAUGGGCAGGGACUCUGCUGUCCUAGCUUCAGGGAGAUGCUGAUUCUACCAUUGGGGUGCCAGGACAGAGAAGAACUUGGGCUGAGUGGGAGCUGCCUUCCUGUAGGGGUGGGAGGGCCAAGAGACCUGAGGUGUCAGAACGGAGUGCUCGGGUUGGGGUGUAGGGUUUGAGCAUAGCCUGAUUGUAGGUAAGGGAAAUUCCUCUUGUUGUUCCGUAUGCAAGCACCAUGGUCUUGUAGUGGAUGGGAGCUUCGAUUGGAAGCCAAUGGAGUGUGAGGAGGUGCGGGGUGACAUGAGAGAACUUGGGAAGGUUGAAAACCAGGCGGGCUGCAGCGUUCUGGAUAAUUGCAGGGAUUUAAUGGCACGAGUGGGGAGCCCAGCCAACAGCGAGUCGUAGUAGUCCAGACGGGAGAGGACGAGUUCCUGGAUUAGGACCUGCACCGCUUCCUGUGUGAGGUAGGGUCGUAUUCUACGGCUGUUGUAGAGCAUGAACCUGCAGGAGUGUGUCACUGCUUUGAUGUUUGCAGAGAACAGCAGGGUGUUGUCCAGGGUCACGACAGGGUGUUGUCCAGGGUCACGACAGGGUGUUGUCCAGGGUCACGACAGGGUGUUGUCCAGGGUCACGACAGGGUGUUGUCCUGGGUCACGACAGGGUGUUGUCCUGGGUCACGACAGGGUGUUGUCCUG